rnacentral:rRNA from 1 species
UGCCACCAGCCGCGGUAAUACAUAGGGUGCAAGCGUUGUCCUGAUUUAUUGGGCGUAAACAGCUCGUAUGUCGUUUGUUACGUGAGAUGUGAAAACCUGAGGCUCAACCUCAAGCCUGCAUUCAAUACGGGCAAACUAAAGUUUGGUAGGGGAGACUGGAAUUCCUGGUGUAGCGGUGGAAUGCGCAAUAUCAAGAGGAACACCAAUGGCGAAGGCAGGUCUCUGGGCCAAUACUGACACUGAGGAGCGAAAGUCUGGGGAGCGAACAGGAUUACAUACCCUGGUAGUCCAAACCGUAAACGGUGGGCACUAGUUGUGGGAACCUUCCACGGUUUCUGCGACGCAACUAACGCAUUAAGUGCCCCGCCGGGGGAGUACGAUCGCAAAAUUAAAACUC